rnacentral:rRNA from 1 species
CUACACAUGCAGUCGAGCGGUAACAGGGGAAGCUUGCUUCUCGCUGACGAGCGGCGGACGGGUGAGUAAUGUAUGGGGAUCUGCCCGAUAGAGGGGGAUAACUACUGGAAACGGUAGCUAAUACCGCAUAAUCUCUCAGGAGCAAAGCAGGGGAACUUCGGUCCUUGCGCUAUCGGAUGAACCCAUAUGGGAUUAGCUAGUAGGUGAGGUAAUGGCUCACCUAGGCGACAAUCCCUAUCUGGUCUGAGAGGAUGAUCACCCACACUGGGACUGAGACACGGCCCACACUCCUACGGGAGGCAGCAGUGGGGAAUAUUGCACAAUGGGCGCAAGCCUGAUGCACCCAUGCCGCGUGUAUGAAAAAAGCCCUAUGGUUGUAAAGUACUUUCAGUCGGGAGGAAGGCGUUGAUGCUAAUAUCAUCAACGAUUGACGUUACCGACAGAAAAAACACCGGCUAACUCCGUGCCAGCAGCCGCGGUAAUACGGAGGGUGCAAGCGUUAAUCGGAAUUACUGGGCGUAAAGCGCACGCAGGCGGUUGAUUAAGUUAGAUGUGAAAUCCCCGGGCUUAACCUGGGAAUGGCAUCUAAGACUGGUCAGCUAGAGUCUUGUAGAGGGGGGUAGAAUUCCAUGUGUAGCGGUGAAAUGCGUAUAGAUGUGGAGGAAUACCGGUGGCGAAGGCGGCCCCCCUGGACAAAGACUGACGCUCACGGUGCGAAAGCGUGUGGGAGCAAACAGGAUUAUAUACCCUGGUAGUCCACGCUGUAAACGAUGUCUAUUUGAAGGUUGUUCCCUAGAGGAGUGGCUUUCGGAGCUAACGCGUUAAAUCGACCGCCCUGGGGAGUACGGCCGCAAGGUUAAAACUAACAUGAAUUGACGGGGGGCCCGCACAAGCGGUGGAGCAUGUGUUUUAUUUCGAUGCAACGCGAAGAGCCUUACCUACUCUUGACAUCCACAGAAUUUAGCAGAGAUGCUUUAGUGCCUUCGGGAACUCUGAGACAGGUGCUGCAUGGCUGUCGUCAGCUCGUGUUGUGAAAUGUUGGGUUAAGUUCCGCACCGGGCGCAACCCUUAUCCUUUGUUGGCAGCGAUUCGG